UAACCCUAUGUAAAUACAAAACACGUGC
rnacentral:sRNA from 1 species